AUUGAACGCUGGCGGAAUGCUUUACACAUGCAAGUCGAUCGGUAGAGGGGGAAACCCCUCGAGAGUGGCGAACGGGUGAGUAAUAUAUCGGAACGUGCCCAGUCGAGGGGGAUAAUGUAGCGAUAUUCACGCUAAUACCGCAUACGCACUAUGGAUGAAAGCGCGGGACCGUAGGCCCUCGCGCGCAUGGAGCGGCCGACAUCAGAUUAGGUAGUUGGUUGGGUAAAGGCUCACCAAGCCAACGAUCUGUAGCUGGUCUGAGAGGACGACCAGCCACACUGGGACUGAGACACGGUCCAGACUCCUACGGGAGGCAGCAGUGGGGAAUUUUGGACAAUGGACGCAAGUCUGAUCCAGCCAUUCCGCGUGCAGGAUGGAGGCCCUCGGGUUGUAAACUGCUUUUGUACGGAACGAAAAGCUCUCUCCUAAUACGAGGGGCUCAUGACGGUACCGUAAGAAUAAGCACCGGCUAACUACGUGCCAGCAGCCGCCGUAA
rnacentral:rRNA from 1 species